AGACGACGAUGCGUAGGGUUUCUGAGAGGAAGGUCCCCCACACUGGUACUGAGACACGGACCAGACUCCUACGGGAGGCAGCAGUGAGGAAUAUUGGUCAAUGGGCGGGAGCCUGAACCAGCCAAGUCGCGUGAGGGAUGACGGUCCUAUGGGUUGUAAACCUCUUUUGCCGGGGAGCAAAGUGCCGCACGUGUGCGGUUUGGAGAGUACCCGGAGAAAAAGCAUCGGCUAACUCCGUGCCAGCAGCCGCGGUAAUACGGAGGAUGCGAGCGUUAUCCGGAUUUAUUGGGUUUAAAGGGUGCGUAGGCGGACGCUUAAGUCAGCGGUAAAAUUGCGGGGCUCAACCUCGUCGAGCCGUUGAAACUGGGUGCCUUGAGUGGGCGAGAAGUACGCGGAAUGCGUGGUGUAGCGGUGAAAUGCAUAGAUAUCACGCAGAACUCCGAUUGCGUAGGCAGCGUACCGGCGCCCUACUGACGCUGAAGCACGAAGGCGUGAGUAUCGAACAGGAUUAGAUACCCUGGUAGUCCACGCAGUAAACGAUGAAUGCUAGUUGUCCGGGGCGAUGAGUUCUGGGUGACACAGCGAAAGCGUUAAGCAUUCCACCUGGGGAGUACGCCGGCAACGGUGAAACUCAAAGGAAUUGACGGGGGCCCGCACAAGCGGAGGAACACGUGGUUUAAUUCGAUGAUACGCGAGGAACCUUACCCGGGCUCAAACGCAGGAGGGAUGUUUUUGAAAGGAGGCAGCCAGCAAUGGUCUCCUGCGAGGUGCUGCAUGGUUGUCGUCAGCUCGUGCCGUGAGGUGUCGGCUUAAGUGCCAUAACGAGCGCAACCCCUACCUACAGUUGCCAUCGCGUGAUGGCGGGCACUCUGUGGGGACUGCCUGCGCAAGCAGUGAGGGAGGCGGGGAUGACGUCAAAUCAGCACGGCCCUUACGUCCGGGGCGACACACGUGUUACAAUGGCAGGUACAGCGGGAAGCCACCCGGCGACGGGGCGCGGAACCCGAAAACCUGUCUCAGUUCGGAUUGGAGUCUGCAACCCGACUCCAUGAAGCUGGAUUCGCUAGUAAUCGCGCAUCAGCCACGGCGCGGUGAAUACGUUCCCGGGCCUUGUACACACCGCCCGUCAAGCCAUGGAAGCCGGGGGUGCCUGAAGUGCGUGACCGCAAGGAGCGCCCUAGGGUAAAACCGGUGACUGGGGCUAAGUCGUAACAAGGUA
rnacentral:rRNA from 1 species